rnacentral:lncRNA from 1 species
AGUGGGGCGUGGCGCCCGCUUACCUUGAGGCUGGGUGAGGCUCGCCCCGAAAUGCGGGGCGUGGGGGGCGGGGGGCAGAGGUCCCUGCCUAGAGGGGAAGAGGGGCGUCCAUGUGGCGGAAUGGAUUUAUGGUUUGGGGCUGAUCAGUGGGUCUUAUGGCCGAGUCUCUCUGGUUGGAAAAAGACUAUGUUAGCAAGUGUCACGCCAUGCUUUUGCCAACUUUCCAAUUAAAGGUUGACAUUCCUGCAUAAGCAUUUCUCUGUGAAAAUGUCCUUGCCUCUUACAGAGGAGCAGAGGAAAAAGAUUGAAGAGAAUCGACAAAAGGCUCUGGCCCGCAGAGCUGAGAAGUUAUUGGCAGAACAGCAUCAGAGGACUAGCUCGGGCACCUCCAUUGCUGGCAACCCAUUCCAGGCCAAGCAAGGCCCAUCCCAAAAUUUCCCAAGGGAGUCUUGUAAGCCAGUGAGCCAUGGUGUCAUUUUCAAGCAACAGAAUCUCAGUAGCUCAUCUAAUGCUGACCAAAGACCUCAUGAUUCCCACAGUUUUC